rnacentral:misc_RNA from 1 species
AACCUUAUGGACCUGCGGGCGUAUACCUGCGGAGGGAUCAUUACAAGUGACCCCGGUCUAACCACCGGGAUGUUCAUAACCCUUUGUUGUCCGACUCCGUUGCCUCCGGGGCGACCCUGCCUUCGGGCGGGGGCUCCGGGUGGACACUUCAAACUCUUGCGUAACUUUGCAGUCUGAGUAAACUUAAUUAAUAAAUUAAAACUUUUAACAACGGAUCU